AACUCAGUAAAUAAUGGUUGAAUGAAUGAAUGGUGAAACUCUAGAAAUAUCACCUGUAGGUCAGAAGAUAUCGGAAAGGCCCUGGAAAGCUGCAUGUGGAGCAAGAGCACAAGUGGAAGUGGCUUCAGACUGAACAUGGCUCUGUCUCCAAGUAGGCCCUCUCCUGCCCUCCGCUGUGCUCCCACUGGGCCCUUCCUUCGUGGACAACUGAUCAUCUAUGUUAAUUUUUAUGCCUAUUUGCCACACAAACUUUGCAACUUUUUAGUUGAAAGAUGAACCGGAAGAAAAAAAGGAAUAAGGACAGAUAAGAUCUGCACGUGGUUGGCUCCAUCUUUCUUCACUUGUAAAAGCAUCAUGACUCAAAUCACUCAGCACAAGUGGUAAAAAUGUUGAAACCCAUCAUUCAAAUUCCUUUGCCCUGACAGUGGCCUUUAUGGGACUCCAGGCUACUCUGAUUUUAUGGAAAGAAGGAAAACAUUUUGUAAUAUUCUUGGCAAGUAUUCCGGCUGUGCAAACCCAGUGACAUCAAUUAAGGUUCUUAGUGAUACUCCAGCAGGUAGCAUGUUCCUUCCUUUGGAUUGAAAGUUGAAACAUACUGUUUGAGAAACACUUAUUCUCAGAUGAAGAUUAGAGUAGGAGCAGAAGGGGAGCACAUGUGAGGCAUAACUUGGACCAAAAAUAACCCCAGACAAGCCUCCUGCCUAUUUGAAAACUGGCUUUGUCAAGGAGAGUAGAGGUAGCUCCAUUGUUGACUUUGGCAAUUGUAUAUCAUAAGUAAUUUUUUUCCAAAACUGAUUCAGUAGGGGGAGGUACUUAUUUUAGCUUGUCUGAGCAUCUCUUUUGUCAGCCUUUCCUGUUGGGGAGGGCUUGGAUGGGUAUGAAAGUGGAGGGUCACAAUUUUUCCCUCGCUUCCAAAAUCACCAUUGAGUAGAGAUAUCGUUUCAAUGUUUUCUAGUUGAUAGAGAAAUAAAUGUUCUGGUUUCUGUGAGGUGCAAAAUAUCUUUCUAAU